AGCUGCACGUUGAGCACAUAACAAACUAUUUUUUGGCCUUUUACUAAAGAAUACUGUGUGCUCGUUGCUUUUCAAGCAGCAUACACAACUUUUUGGAGGGUGGUUUCAUUAUUGGAAAA